ACUCAGAAUGUAAACACUUCACUUAGAAGUCUUAUAAGAGUUUCUUCCAUCUUACUUUUGAACUUUCUCUUCUAGCCUUUUGGAGAAGUCCCCUAAAGUUAGUAAGUUUCUUUAAAUAGCAAUUAGUUUUGUAACUUAUUUCCAUAUUUUUAUGCAUAAUAAAAUUGCCAACGGGAACACAUAAGUGUUGUUCAUGUUUUGGACAGAUUCUGUGUUGUCACUUUGAACGACCCAUAACUUCGUUAAAACUUAACCAAAUAAAGUAAACUCUUAUUUCAUGAUUAAGUACUCAUUUCAAUGAUGUACAAGACGCUUAAAAACACUUCUGUUUGGACACUCAACCGUUUGAAACCAAACUGAAGCACAAAACUAAACGAUAUGUAAAGAUCAACAGUUUUGACCAAUUUUGUGGCUAUAUAUUAUUAAAUGACUUUGUGUGAAACUUGUUUGGAUAACUCCUCGCGUUGCAUUCAUUAAAUUUGAUCAAGCCCACGUGUAGUAUAUUAUAACGCUAUAGGUGUAACGACCCAUCCCUAUGCAUGGACUUGCUCAUGGUACAUGGGAUGUAUCUCGUGGGAUGGGAUGAUAGAAUCUGUGCAUAUAUAUCAACGUUAGACUUGAAUGUACCCCCCUUAGUUAUUAUACAUGUUAAAUGCAAAUUGCUUUAGUUAUUAUAUUUUGGCAUCACAAAACUUUUUUUACAAUCGAAACCACUGUAUUGCAAUACUAAAUAUUUUGCCAUGUAUUUGGCUACAAAAACCUAUUUUCACUAUUCAACUCUUUUAGUUGGCCAACAUACUACAAUACCUAACUUUUUUCCAUUUACUUAGCCACAAUACCUAUGUAACUUAGCAACUUUUUAGUUGACCCUUUAUUUUUUGCGUAUGUUUCAGGUACUAGUAUUUGAUGAUGCUAUUUAAGUAUGUUUCACAUAGGAAACGGACUUGGGCCUUAGUUUGCUUUUAUUUAAAAACAUUUACUAUGUUGUUUUGUGUUUGAAAAACAAAUGUAAUUCAGUUGAUUAAUAUAAUGGAACUUUAAAUUAGUGUCAUGUGUUAUGAACAAUCUUGUAACUUGAUUCCCUGACGUUUUUGCCGAGGAUUCCACACGGUCGGGGUGUUACAUGAAGGCUUUAGGGAGAUUUUGUGAUAAUGGGAACAUGAGGAAUGUUCUAGGCAUAAUUUAAAGGUGAGGCUGAGAUCGAAAGAUGGGAAUUCAGAAUGGUAAAAUUCUUCCUUGAGUGCUUGCUGUUUUGGAGAGUGUUCUUUUUCUUCUUGAAGUCUUUGGAUAUGGUAGUGCAAACCAUUGGGAGUCGAUUGAAAUGGAAGAUGACUCAUUGGCUAGCGUCGCCAUGACUGGGUCUGUCAGGCUGGACUGGAGCUCUCGGGAGUUUUAAUGGGCCUUACAAAAAGAAAAAAAUGAUGCAAGGGCCACCGCAACUAGGCGGAUUGAUUAUUUUAAAAUCUUAGCAUGUUCUUGAAACUACAUGCGUGAAUUAUUUUUGUUGUUAAGGGUUACUCGAGUUACUGAAUGAUUGGAUUGCUUUGUGAUUGCACGAUGGGCUUGAGUUUAUCACAAGGCUUUCAAGUGGGAGAUUGUAGGGUUUGAAGACCUUUGUUAUUGGGCUUUUGGUUAGAAGAUUAAUGGUGAGUCAGCUUUAUUAAAUUAAUUAAGGGCCUAUUUGCUUUUUUUUGUUCACCAAGAUAGAAACCCAGAAUCUACACCAAUAAAGAUAUACCCUAGUUGCACCCCGUGUACAUACGUUUUCCACUGGGACCAAACCACGUAAAGAUUCCUGUGUAGUUUAUUAUUUUUUGUACUAUGUGUUUAUAUCGUUUAUGCAUGUCUGUGUGUAUUAAU
rnacentral:lncRNA from 1 species